UUUAACAAAUAAUGUGCGCGUCGUUUUUACGAGCGAUGUGCACACGUUGAUGAGCUUUUCCGAAAAAACCAGGUUUUUUUGGUGGCGCAUAAUGAACAGCGUGGGCUUUUUCUUCGAUUCUCGUGUAGUAAAUCUUCAACGCUUGGGUUGAGAAAAAGUGCGUGCCGCGCAAUGGGUGUGGCGAAUUUUACCCCUGCCCCAAUGCCACUCUUUCCCUGCGAAAGAACAUCUUUUAU
rnacentral:misc_RNA from 1 species